AGCAUGGCCACACCUCCUCCCAGUAAUGAAUCUGUGAAGAGCCUGCUAGGACAGCGCAUAGUAUAGCACGUUGCAGAGGCACACUUUUUGAAGGACAAGUCACCGCGUGGCUCUGGAGUCUGUAUUUAGGCCUCAAGCAAGAUAAAGUAAUUUGAAAAUCUUCAAUCCUUUAUCAAUCUGAGACGAAAAAGACUCGGAAGAAAUAACGUAGCCAAGACUGGAAAGCAAAAUAGCAAAGGCCAAGUGACUGUGAUGUAUUUAGCAGCUAUGAAAAAGCAGUGAAAAAAGCAGAUAUAUGUGCAGGACCGUAAGGUCAAUUUCCAAUCAAUUAUUAUAUGAGCCCUUUUCUUCCAAUCAGGCUUUCUAAGUGACUGCAGCUGCUUUCUUCCUUGCUGUUUAGAGAGAAUGUUGCCCAUCUGAUGCACAGAUUCCAGGACACGAUCCUAAGGACUCUUCUGGGAUGAUCUUUAUUAAGGGGAUAUGAGGAAAAUAAAUUGUAAGGGCUACACUCAGUAACAAGUUGCACACAAGUGCAGUAUUAUCCAAGGCUGUCUCCAUUCCGGUUCAAGUUUCCAACUCCAGUCCGUUCCAAGUCUGGUCCAACUCAAGUAUAUGACACCAGUCCUUUCCAAGUCCAGUUCCAGUCUGGUCAAGCACCUGCAGAUCAGUUCCAGUGUGGUCCAAGUCCAGUUCUAGCCUGCUCCAGGAUUCAGUUGAUUCCAGUCCAGUUCAGUAUCUACUGUUUGUUUGCUACGUAUGAUCUGUAUAUGCACUUUCUAAAGUGCUGUGGAAUCCUGUGGCACCCUUUAAAUAAAGGAUACUAAUAAUGAUAAUGCAGGUUUCUGUGGGUCAGCGUCAGUACAGUAUGUCUGUUUCAGUUACACUUUUGUCU